UUCCGGUUGAUCCUGCCGGACCUGACUGCUAUCGGAUUGAUACUAAGCCAUGCGAGUCUUUGCAGUAAUGCAAGGCAUACGGCUCAGUAACACGUAGUCAACCUACCCUAUGGACGAGAAUAAUCUCGGGAAACUGAGCAUAAUUCUUGAUAGAUCAUAAUGCCUGGAAUGGUUUAUGGUUAAAAUGAUUCGUCGCCAUAGGAUGGGACUGCGGCCUAUCAGCUUGUUGGUGAGGUAAUGGCCCACCAAGGCGAUUACAGGUACGGGCUCUGAGAGGAGAAGCCCGGAGAUGGGUACUGAGACACGGACCCAGGCCCUAUGGGGCGCAGCAGGCGAGAAAACUUUGCAAUGUGCGAAAGCACGACAAGGUUAAUCCGAGUGAUUUCUGCUAAAGAAAUCUUUUGCCAGUCGUAAAACCGCUGGUGAAUAAGGGGUGGGCAAGUUCUGGUGUCAGCCGCCGCGGUAAAACCAGCACCUCAAGUGGUCAGGAUGAUUAUUGGGCCUAAAGCAUCCGUAGCCGGCUUUGUAAGUUUUCGGUUAAAUCCAUGUGCUCAACGCAUGGGCUGCCGAAAAUACUGCAUAGCUAGGGAGUGGGAGAGGUAGACGGUACUCAGUAGGUAGGGGUAAAAUCCUUUGAUCUAUUGAUGACCACCUGUGGCGAAGGCGGUCUACCAGAACACGUUCGACGGUGAGGGAUGAAAGCUGGGGGAGCAAACCGGAUUAGAUACCCGGGUAGUCCCAGCUGUAAACGAUGCAGACUAGAUGAUGCAUUGGCAUAAUAGCCAUUGCAGUGUCUCAGGGAAGCCGUUAAGUCUGCCGCCUGGGAAGUACGUACGCAAGUAUGAAACUUAAAGGAAUUGGCG
rnacentral:rRNA from 1 species